rnacentral:misc_RNA from 1 species
GAUGAAGAACGUAGCGAAAUGCGAUAAGUAGUGUGAAUUGCAGAAUUCAGUGAAUCAUCGAAUCUUUGAACGCACAUUGCGCCCUUUGGUAUUCCUUAGGGCAUGCCUGUUCGAGCGUCAUUUAAACCUUCAAGCUAAGCUUGGUGUUGGGUGACUGUCCGCUUCACUGCGGACUCGCCUCAAAAUUAUUGGCGGCCGGUACAUUGGCUUCGAGCGCAGCAGAAACGCGAACUCGGGCCCGUCGUAUUGGCUCCCAGAAGCUAUCUUCACAAUUUUGACCUCGGAUCAGGUAGGGAUACCCGCUGAACUUAAGCAUAUCAAUAAGCGGA